rnacentral:rRNA from 1 species
UACAGAGGUCCCAAGCGUUGUUCGGAUCCAUUGGGCGUAAAGGGUGCGUAGGUGGCGCCGUAAGUCGGGUGUGAAAUUUCGGAGCUUAACUCCGAAACUGCAUUCGAUACUGCGGUGCUUGAGGACUGGAGAGGAGACUGGAAUUCAUGGUGUAGCAGUGAAAUGCGUAGAGAUCAUGAGGAAGACCAGUGGCGAAGGCGGGUCUCUGGACAGUUCCUGACACUGAGGCACGAAGGCCAGGGGAGCAAACGGG